rnacentral:rRNA from 1 species
GAUGAACGCUAGCGGCAGGCCUAACACAUGCAAGUCGAGGGGUAACUAGAGUGAUAGCAAUAUUACUUUGGCUAGACCGGCGCACGGGUGCGUAACACGUAUGCGACCUACCUUACACUGGGGAAUAACUUCGAGAAAUCGGCGCUAAUACCCCAUAACAUUGCGAAGAGGCAUCUCUUUGCAAUUAAAGCUCCGGCGGUAUAAGAUGGGCAUGCGUCCAAUUAGCUAGUUGGUGAGGUAACGGCUCACCGAGGCUACGAUUGGUAGGGGUUCUGAGAGGAUGAUCCCCCACACUGGUACUGAGACACGGACCAGACUCCUACGGGAGGCAGCAGUGAGGAAUAUUGCGCAAUGGACGAAAGUCUGACGCAGCCAUGCCGCGUGCAGGAUGACGGCCCUAUGGGUUGUAAACUGCUUUUGUACGGGAAUAAACCCUUCUACGUGUAGGAGGCUGAAGGUACCGUAAGAAUAAGCACCGGCUAACUCCGUGCCAGCCGCCGCCGUAACAC